CAGCACCUCAAGUGGUCAGGAUGAUUAUUGGGCCUAAAGCAUCCGUAGCCGGCUCUGUAAGUUUUCGGUUAAAUCUGUAUGCUCAACAUACAGGCUGCCGGGAAUACUGCAGAGCUAGGGAGUGGGAGAGGUGGACGGUACUCGGUAGGAAGGGGUAGAAUCCUUUGAUCUAUUGAUGACCACCUGUGGCGAAGGCGGUCUACCAGAACACGUCCGACGGUGAGGGAUGAAAGCUGGGGGAGCAAACCGGAUUAGAUACCCGAGUAGUCC
rnacentral:rRNA from 1 species